GAUGAACGCUGGCGGCGUGCCUAAUACAUGCAAGUCGAACGAAACUUCUUUAUCACCGAGUGCUUGCACUCACCGAUAAAGAGUUGAGUGGCGAACGGGUGAGUAACACGUGGGCAACCUGCCCAAAAGAGGGGGAUAACACUUGGAAACAGGUGCUAAUACCGCAUAACCAUAGUUACCGCAUGGUAACUAUGUAAAAGGUGGCUAUACUACCGCUUUUGGAUGGGCACGCGGCGCAUUAGCGGGUGGGUAGGGUAAAGGCUUACCAAGGCAAAGAUGCGGAGGCGUGCGGAGAGGAAGGUCCACCAGAGGGGAACUGAGACACGGACCAAACUCGGAGGGGAGGCAGCAGUGAGGGAUAUUGGGCAAGGGGCGGGAGCAUGAAACAGCCAAGUUGGGGGAAGGAAGACGGACCUAGGGGAUGUAAACUGAUUGUAUAAGGGAAGAAAGGGAGAGUCGGGACACUUUUUGUAUGUACCUUAUGAAUAAGGACCGGCUAAUUCCGUG
rnacentral:rRNA from 1 species